AACGAACGCUGGCGGCAGGCUUAACACAUGCAAGUCGAACGCAUCGCAAGAUGAGUGGCAGACGGGUGAGUAACGCGUGGGAACAUACCCUUUUCUACGGAAUAGCUCUGGGGAACUGGAAUUAAUACCGUAUACGCCCUACGGGGGAAAGAUUUAUCGGGGAAGGAUUGGCCCGCGUUGGAUUAGCUAGUUGGUGGGGUAAAGGCCUACCAAGGCGACGAUCCAUAGCUGGUCUGAGAGGAUGAUCAGCCACAUUGGGACUGAGACACGGCCCAAACUCCUACGGGGGGCAGCAGUGGGGAAUACUGGACAAUGGGCGCAAGCCUGAUCCAGCCAUGCCGCGUGAGUGAUGAAGGCCUUAGGGUUGUAAAGCUCUUUCACCGAUGAAGAUAAUGACGGUAGUCGGAGAAGAAGCCCCGGCUAACUUCGUGCCAGCCGCCGCGGUAA
rnacentral:rRNA from 1 species